GCCAUCUGGGCAGGGACGGCAGAGGACAGACGUGCACACCGGUUACUAAGCUCCUUCCCUCCUCACCAAGGAAGCUCAAAUGUGUUCAGCAGAAGGGUGCUGGCCCAAGGGAUCCAGCAGGACUGGGUGACUGCGUGCUGUCUGUGGGCCUGGCGAAAAAGGAUGAAGACCUGCUGACCUGAACCAAGAUUCACAACUGCCUCCUUCCAACCACUCACAUCACUGGCAAGUGUCCAGCAGAGGGCAGUGGUGGAACACACCAGGAGCACAGCCCCAGGACUCUGCACUCACUCCCAGCUACUGCAGCCACUGCAGACAGUGGGUCCUGGACUCAGUUUCUCCACGUGAGCAAUGAGAGAAGAGGAGUCAGCAAUCAUUCCAGAAUCUCCUGGGCUGGGCUGCCUCAAGGAGGGUGAAGAGAGACACCCCGCUCUGCCACCUGCACACGGUCCCUGCCAGCUCCCCCAAGGGCCUCACCUCA